UUUAAGCCAAUCAGCACAUUCCAUUCUUCCUGGCCACAGUCAUUGGUUUAGGGAUGGGCACGUGACCUACACAGUCCACUCAGGUGAUUCUCAGUGUUAUUGCUUAGAACACUGGGAUGUGAGCGUUCCUUGGGUGCCCCAUUCCAUCUCCCUUGCCUUCCCGUAGGCACCCUUAAGUGAGGUUAUGAGACCGACAAUUGUUAUGAUGGACCUUACUGCCAUGCUGGAAAGGAAGUUGGAAUAGACACUUGGAUAGAUAUUGGAGCCUGGGCAUUAAGUCAAUCCUGAGAUCCAUCCUACCUCUGGAGUUAGGUGAAACCAUAUUUUUCCUCACUGUUUAGGCCAGCUUGACCUGGGAGUUUCUGUUAUUUGCUGCUAAAAACAUCCUAAUUUCCUCGGCAAGCACAUGUGAGAAAAAGGAAAGGAAGAAGAAUUGGUUCCCUAUGUCUUCUCUUUUCUGAACUGUAAUGGGGUAAAUUCAAAGUCCUUGUAAAUAAAGAUGAGUCAUUUCCCUGCCACUAUUUGGAUUUGCCCUGUUGGAAGAAGUGCCUUCGUUUUAGUGGGAAACAAUCACCGAAGUGUUGGUGUUUUCCUGUGGUCGUUUAUGUUUUUUCUGUUUUAUUUAUUUAUUUAUUUAUUUAUUUAUUUAUUUAUUAUUAUUAUUUUUUUU